UUGUUUUUUUUAAGAUACAAUUGAUUCUAUUGGAGGUUUUGGGUUAUUUUGAAAUCCAUUCAUGUGACCAAAAAAAAAAUAUAAAUUGUUGAUGAGGAUCCAUCCACAAAAACCACUUGGAAGAUUUUGUCUACUGCCAUUAUCACAUUCAUGUGAAACCAUGAUUAUAUGAUUGCAAGUUUUCACUUUUUAAACCAUGAUUAUAUAUCUACUGCCAUUAUCCAUGUUUCUGUAAUCUUGUGCAGAUGAGCUUCUCUUAUGAGUUGUUGUUUGUGAAAUUUUAUUGUGAUAGUAGAAUUACAGCCUUUUGGCCUUGUGAACUUAGGGAAGAGUGCUCUCGGUCACUUAUAUCAUACCUUAUUAGGGGAUUACACUCUAAAACAUG